rnacentral:rRNA from 1 species
GUGGGGAAUAUUCCGCAAUGGACGAAAGUCUGACGGAGCAACGCCGCGUGAGUGAUGAAGGUUUUCGGACUGUAAAGCUCUGUUGUUUAGGACGAAAGUGCCUGUUGCGAAUAGUUACAGGUAUUGACGGUACUGAACGAGGAAGCCACGGCUAACUACGUGCCAGCAGCCGCGGUAAUACGUAGGUGGCAAGCGUUGUCCGGAAUUAUUGGGCGUAAAGAGCAUGUAGGCGGGAAUCUAAGUCUGUUGUGAAAAUGCGGGGCUCAACCCCGUAUUGCGAUGGAAACUGGGUUUCUUGAGUGCAGGAGAGGAAAGGGGAAUUCCCAAUGUAGCGGUGAAAUGCGUAGAUAUUGGGAGGAACACCAGUGGCGAAGGCGCCUUUCUGGACUGUGUCUGACGCUGAGAUGCGAAAGCCAGGGUAGCGAACGGGAUUAGAUACCCGUGUAGUCC